AUAGGUCCACAACAGAAACAAUAAAUCACCCAAGGCCCAGUGCAGUCAAAUCUUUAUUCAAGGAAACAAACCACAGCUCAGAGCUAAUAGUCUCAGCAACACUUUCUAGGCGAUCUUGCCCCAAUGAAGCAGUUGCAAGCACUGAAGGUUCCUGCCUUCCCAGUGUCCACUAGGACUCCUCCUCUUCUGGGUCUUUUCCAUGCAGUCUCAGGCUGUGUCUGCGCACAACCACCCUCCUUCCUCUCUGUGUUUUAUUUCUCUGCGAGUUCUAGACCAGAGAGGAGAGGAGCUGGUCACAGCAGGAGGGAGAGACUCACUGGAUUCUUCAGCAGCCUGCCUCAUCUCUGUCUCCUGGCCCCUCUCCCCUCCAGCCUCAGGGUCUGAACUGCUCUCUGCCGCAGCCUCUUCCCGCUCACUAAACCCUGUUGCCUCUCCAGCUUCCACCACCACAUCCCAGUCUGCUCUCUCUUUUCCCUCUGACCAUUCAUCAUUGUCCCACCCAGUGCUGAAUUUACGUAUAAGCUAAACAAGCUAUAGCUUAGGGCCUCACUCUCUUGGGGGACCCGAAAAAAAUUAAAGGGGAAAACCCGGAUGUACAUUUCC